rnacentral:rRNA from 1 species
GACGAACGCUGGCGGCGUGCCUAACACAUGCAAGUCGAACGAGAAUCUUUGAACAGAUCUUUUCGGAGUGACGUUCAAAGAGGAAAGUGGCGGACGGGCGAGUAACGCGUGAGUAACCUGCCCAUAAGAGGGGGAUAAUCCAUGGAAACGUGGACUAAUACCGCAUAUUGUAGUUAAGUUGCAUGACUUGAUUAUGAAAGAUUUAUCGCUUAUGGAUGGACUCGCGUCAGAUUAGAUAGUUGGUGAGGUAACGGCUCACCAAGUCAACGAUCUGUAGCCGAACUGAGAGGUUGAUCGGCCGCAUUGGGACUGAGACACGGCCCAGACUCCUACGGGAGGCAGCAGUGGGGAAUAUUGCGCAAUGGGGGAAACCCUGACGCAGCAACGCCGCGUGCAGGAAGAAGGUCUUCGGAUUGUAAACUGUUGUCGCAAGGGAAGAAGACAGUGACGGUACCUUGUGAGAAAGUCACGGCUAACUACGUGC